UGGCUCUGUGGUAUAGUGCAUGCCUUGCAUGCAUGAGGCCCUGGGUUCGAUUCCCAC
rnacentral:tRNA from 1 species